rnacentral:rRNA from 1 species
ACGGUACCGUGAGAAUAAGCCACGGCUAACUCUGUGCCAGCAGCCGCGGUAAGACAGAGGUGGCAAGCGUUGUUCGGAAUUACUGGGCGUAAAGAGUCUGUAGGUGGUUUGUCAAGUCUUUGGUGAAAGGCCGUAGCUUAACUAUGGGAAUGCCAAAGAGACUGGCAGGCUGGAGGCUGGGAGAGGGAAGCGGAAUUUCUGGUGUAGCGGUGAAAUGCGUAGAUAUCAGAAGGAAGGCCGGUGGCGAAGGCGGCUUCCUGGAACAGUCCUGACACUGAGAGACGAAAGCGUGGGGAGCAAACAGGAUUAGAUACCCUGGUAGUCCACGCCCUAAACGAUGGGUACUAAGUGUAGGAGGGGUU